GGUCAGGACCCACUGGGACCUAACUGGCACAUACCCAGUGCUGAGCCAAUCACUGUGGCCAGGGAGGAUGGCCAGAUUGAGGUCCUGUGACCACCCUCCCUAAGGAAACUCCUGAGCUGUUCAACCUGUUUUCCUGUGUGGGAGUGAACCUGAGAGAACAGAGGAAAGACGUCAAACUCAUAAGCACGGCAUGGCAGAGGGGCUGCUGAACAGUGAAAACAGAUGUGAGCACACGCGUUAAGAACCAGUGAGUAAUUUACCACUUUUCUUUUCCUUUUUCCACCACAAUGGCAAUAUUCCAGAUAGAGACAGACUGCUCUGUCAACCUGAGUGCAGAGGGGAGAGGAGACGAAGGAGAGCCACAUGUGCAUGUAGUCUGAGACAUAAAGAAACUUUAUUGUAGGCCA